rnacentral:tRNA from 1 species
GGUUGUGGCUCAGUGGUGGAGUGCUUGCCUAGCACGUGUGAGGCACUGGGUUCAAUCCUCAGCACUA